rnacentral:rRNA from 1 species
UGCGGUGAGUGUUCGGAUUGCGGCGACGUGGGCGGUUCGCUGCCCGCGACGUUGUGAGAAGUCCACUGAACCUUAUCAUUUAGAGGAAGGAGAAGUCGUAACAAGGUUUCCGUAGGUGAACCUGCGGAAGGAUCAUUG